CUACGGGAGGCACCAGGCGAGAAAACUUUGCAAUGUGCGAAAGCACGACAAGGUUAAUCCGAGUGGUUUGUGCUAAACGAACCUUUUGACAGUCCUAGAAACACUGUUGAAUAAGGGGUGGGCAAGUUCUGGUGUCAGCCGCCGCGGUAAAACCAGCACCUCAAGUGGUCAGGAUGAUUAUUGGGCCUAAAGCAUCCGUAGCCGGCUCUGUAAGUUUUCGGUUAAAUCUGUACGCUCAACGUACAGGCUACCGGGAAUACUGCAGAGCUAGGGAGUGGGAGAGGUAGACGGUACUCGGUAGGAAGGGGUAAUAUCCUUUGAUCUAUUGAUGACCACCUGUGGCGAAGGCGGUCUACCAGAACACGUCCGACGGUGAGGGAUGAAAGCUGGGGGAGCAAACCGGAUUAGAUACCCCGGUAGUC
rnacentral:rRNA from 1 species